rnacentral:tRNA from 1 species
GGUCCCGUGGUGUAGCGGUUAUCACGUCGCCCUGUCACGGCGAAGAUCGCGGGUUCGAUUCCCGUCGGGACC